AUAAUUAGGUUUUUAGUUUAGACAAUCCUCCCAACUCUUCUCUUACCUCCAGCCGCCCGAUACGAAGAAAACCCUUCCCACCAUAUUCUACUAAUUGUAUCAAUCUCGAUCUUCAACCAUCAACGCCAUUUGAUAUUCAAAUCUGUCUCAGUUACACAACAGGACAGCUACCAAAAGCAGCAACAAGUAACUUGUGGGCGUCGUUUUGGAAUGUUUGGUAGUUUGGAGGCAAUAUGGUGGUUACUAUGGUGCUGCUCCAUAUAGAGAAGGGCUUAGCACCAGACAAGGGGGUUCUACCAUUUGGAUGACUUGGAUGAUGAGAUCAGUGUGGACUUGCCAUUGAGAACUGGAAUGGCCUUUUAGGUUAUACCCAUUUGGAUGUAUAUUGAGAACUGGAAUGCUUAUUCCAACAACAAUCAGUUUAAGGAAAUUCAAGUGUAAGAUUCGUGGGGAGGAUGGAGGUAGUCAACGUAUUGAGGACUUGAGGUUCGUUUUAUGAUAGACACUUGAUGAAGACUGUUUUUGUUUCAAGUAAGUUGUCUUUCAUGAACAAUAUAUGAUAAUCCCAAUAGUUAAAAUAAGUGUCUUUACAAGAAAUAUAAUGAGUUUGCUGAUGUUAUUAUGAGUUUGGCUUUUUAAAUUAAAAUUCUCCACUUGCCUUAUUUUUUGUAUGUUUUUCACUUCACUGCUAUAUUUGUAGCCUGUAAGAAUAGUAUUAGCUCAUAUUCAAUCUUCCUAAACUCUGAAGUCACCCAGACACCAACCCUUAUACGGCCCCAAGGUUUGAGAGGGCUAAGAUUGCUAUACGACCCAAUUGAAAGGGUUACAUCAUAUGAGUCGUAUGAUUUGUCAGGUGUCAUAUGGUGUCCGCUGUUGUAGAUGUAUAUAAUGACACCCUUACCCUUUGGAUUAUGAACAAAUUUGAAAGAAAUGACAAGAUUACUUAACUGAUUAACUGAUAAACAAACUGUUUAUAAUAUUGUGAGUGUCAUUUUCUUGAUUUUGCUUACGAAACAAUAUUUUUUUAAUUAAUUAAGUUGUAGCAUUUUGAACUAAAUAACCAGAAUUGGGCGGAAUUGUGAAUUUAAAUAGCGAGCCUAACUGUUUGGAAUGGAACGGAAUCGCAACGCCAAAAGCAAACUUGUUUAUUUGGAGAGCUGUGGAGGAGAAGAUCCCAACGAUGGAUGCGCUAAAAAGGAGGGGGUGCAGGUUACUUUGGACACCUGGCGGAUCAUCAACAGAAACGACAGGUCACAUAUUUAUCCAUUGUCCAUAUGCUAAUCAUGUGUGCAUGAUGCUAUGGGCAUGGUUAAAAAUCCCGGCCAAGGACCAACAAGAGUCGCUUUGUACAAGAAUUCAGGAUAGAUUAACCCAAAGGUUUUUACCUUUUACAAUUU
rnacentral:lncRNA from 1 species